GAUGAAGAACGCAGCGAAAUGCGAUAAGUAAUGUGAAUUGCAGAAUUCAGUGAAUCAUCGAAUCUUUGAACGCACAUUGCGCCCCCCAGUAUUCUGGCGGGCAUGCCUGUUCGAGCGUCAUUUCAACCAUCAAGCCCUGCUUGUGUUGGGGUCCUGCGGCUGCCCGCAGGCCCUGAAAACCAGUGGCGGGCUCGCUAGUCACACCGAGCGCAGUAGCACAUCUCGCUCAGGGCGUGCGGCGGGCUCCAGCCGUUAAAGCACCCACCUUUCGCAAGGUUGACCUCGGAUCAGGUAGGAAUACCCGCUGAACUUAAGCAUAUCAUUAAGCGGAGGA
rnacentral:misc_RNA from 1 species